rnacentral:rRNA from 1 species
CUACGGGGUGCACCAGUGAGGAAUAUUGCACAAUGGGGGGAACCCUGAUGCAGCAACGCCGCGUGGAGGAUGACGCAUUUCGGUGUGUAAACUCCUUUUAUAUGUCAAGAAAAUGACGGUAGCAUAUGAAUAAGCACCGGCUAACUCCGUGCCAGCAGCCGCGGUAAUACGGAGGGUGCAAGCGUUACUCGGAAUCACUGGGCGUAAAGGACGCGUAGGCGGGUUGGAAAGUCAGGUGUGAAAUCCUACAGCUUAACUGUAGAACUGCACUUGAAACUUCUAAUCUAGAGGAUGGGAGGGAAGAUGGAAUUAGUGGUGUAGGGGUAAAAUCCGUAGAUAUCACUAGGAAUACCUAAAGCGAAGGCGAUCUCCUGGAACAUUACUGACGCUAAGGCGUGAAAGCGUGGGGAGCAAACAGGAUUAGAUACCCCUGUAGUC